rnacentral:rRNA from 1 species
GACGAACCGUGCGAACGUUGUUCGGAAUCACUGGGCUUAAAGGGCGCGUAGGCGGGCCGGACGGUCCGGGGUGAAAUCCCCCCGGCUCAACGGGGGAACGGCCCCGGACACCGCCGGCCUCGAGGGGGGUAGGGGCGAGCGGAACGCUGGGUGGAGCGGUGAAAUGCGUUGAUAUCCAGCGGAACUCCGGUGGCGAAGGCGGACUCGCUGGGCCCUCUCUGGACGCUGACGGCGCGAAAGCCAGGGGAGCGAACGGG